AACGAACGCUGGCGGCAUGCCUAAUACAUGCAAGUCGAACGAUCACUUCGGUGGUAGUGGCGCACGGGUGCGUAACGCGUGGGAAUCUGCCCUUGGGUUCGGAAUAACAGCUGGAAACGGCUGCUAAUACCGGAUGAUGACGUAAGUCCAAAGAUUUAUCGCCCAAGGAUGAGCCCGCGUAGGAUUAGCUAGUUGGUGAGGUAAAGGCUCACCAAGGCUACGAUCCUUAGCUGGUCUGAGAGAAUGAUCAGCCACACUGGGACUGAGACACGGCCCAGACUCCUACGGGAGGCAGCAGUAGGGAAUAUUGGACAAUGGGGGCAACCCUGAUCCAGCAAUGCCGCGUGAGUGAUGAAGGCCUUAGGGUUGUAAAGCUCUUUUACCCGAGAUGAUAAUGACAGUAUCGGGAGAAUAAGCUCCGGCUAACUCCGUGCCAGCCGCCGCGGUAAGAC
rnacentral:rRNA from 1 species